rnacentral:tRNA from 1 species
GUUUGGGUAGUUUAUAAAAAAUAUUGAUUUGUGAUGUCAAAGAUGAAUUUUUUUUUUCUCCAGACU